GGAGUCAUCUCCGAGGGUUCGACAGUGCAAGCUAGUCGUACGACUGUACAGCAACACCAUCCAAUUGCAGGAACAGCCUAAAGCCUCGCACACUCCCCAGCAGAAGGUAAUUCUGCCGGUACAGUAACAGAUGCGAGGAUGCAACAGUGGCUUACCCGCAGCCAAGUCCCUUCUGGGGAUGCAGUUCAGAGACUAAAUGGUGGUGGGCAGACAUGCUCUGCUUAAGAUAUAGUCCAUCUCAUCGCGAAAGCGAUGAACGGAUCAAUGGCGGAAGGAUCAUUAACGUUACCAAUCCAACCUUGCUGUCGGUCGCCCGCGAGGGCGGCCGGCAACAAGCACCCGUGACUUGUUAAAGUCCUUAACAGCAUCCGAUCCGAUCGGAUGCCGUUAAAGCACCUUACACAGUUAUGUCUAAACAUGAGCUUCCUCUUGCGAGGGAGCGCAACCGAUCAAUCGAGACACAACUUUUAACAACGGAUAUCUUGGUUCUCACAACGAUGAAGAGCGCAGCGAAAUGCGAUACGUAGUGUGAAUUGCAGAAUUCAGUGAAUCAUCGAGACCUUGAACGCAUAUUGCGCUUGCAGUCACCUGCAAGCAUGCCUGUUUGAGUGUCGUUUAUCCAUCCUCACCAAAAUCAAAGAUAUUCUCUCUGAUCGAGGUGGCGCUGAGCGUUUGCAUCGGAUGCAAUCGCUUGAAAGCGAGAGGGGUUACAGGGCAUCGAAUAUCGCAUCCGAUGACUCCUGCAGUCCAUGGGUGUCUCUGGCAUGCAUCGUCAUGAUCUACACCUCGUGCUGCAGACACGGAGUCUCGAAGCGAAAUUCAUGUUCGACCUCAACUUACUGCAGCUUCUCGCGAGCUGCAGGAAUCUUCAAAACUGCGACCUCAAAUCAGGCAAGGCUACCCGCUGAAUUUAAGCAUAUAAAUAAGCGGAGGAAGAGAAACUAACCAGGAUUCCCUCAGUAACUGCGAGUGAAGCGGGAAGAGCUCAAGCUUAAAAUCCGGAGAGGCCUCCUCUCCCGAAUUGUAGUUUCGCGAAUGACGAUUACGGGCGGUCCGCUCCGGCAGAAGUCCUCUGGAAAGAGGCGCCACAGAGGGUGAGAGCCCCGUACACGGUCGGAUGCCGGGCCGUCAACACGUACCGUCCAUUUGCAGAGUCGGGUUGUUUGGGAGUACAGCCCUAAGCGCGUGGUAAGUUCCAUGUAAGGCUAAAUAAGGGUGAGAGACCGAUAGCGAACAAGUACCGUGAGGGAAAGAUGCAAAGAACUUUGAAAAGAGAGUUAAAAGUGCUUGAAAUUGUUAAAAGGGAAGCGAUUUGGGUCAGUGAAUGGCGGCCGUCGACUCAUUCGCACCCGGGAUGCUGGUUCUCGGUCGGUCUGAGCAGCCCUCUGGGAGGCCAACCGAUCGGUGCCUGGCGUUUCGGGGGCGAAGCACUUCGGCGGUCGCCGAGUCAGCAUCGAUCAGGGGAGGAGUAAAAGGGUCGGAGGAAGGUGACAUGGUGGAGCUCCUUGAGGGUUUCACCGUGUGUUAUAGCCUCCGACAGAUGCUCCUUCCAUCUGAUUGAGGGGUCUUAUGGACCAAAACAGGUGCCCUCUGGGCUGGACAUGGUCAUCCGCUGGUGUUUGCCAGUGGAGGGGACAGCAUGCUGUGCCUUCUGCUGGCGGAUGCCACCGGGUGACCGUCGCACACCUGUUAGAGAUGCUGACCAGACGGCCCAAACCGUCCCGUCUUGAAAGUGCUGUCGAGACAGAAAGCGGUGGCUGCACCGCUAGUCCGAUGCUGGGGCUACACCGUCAAAUUGCGGGAACAUCUUAAAGCCUCGCUCACCAAGCGACCUUCGAAAGGAGGUUGUGGCCAGAGUAACGAUCUGGAUAAGGUAACAAGAGCGAGGAUGAACAAUGGAUCACCCGCAGCCAAAUCUUAAAGCGCUCUCCAGGCGCUAAGGAUGCAGUUCACAGACUAAAUGGCGGUGGGCGGAGCAUUCCGCUUAAGAUAUAGUCGAGCCUCCGUCGAAAGGCGAGGGGAUCGCUGGAAACACGGACCAAGGAGUCUAACAUAUAUGCGAGUGCUUGGGUGACAAACCUAGACGCGUAAUGAAAGUAAAGGGAGGUUCGGCCUCCUGAGGUGGGAGAGAGUCCCCUCGGGGACGAUCGCACCAUCGACCGAUCUGGAUAUUUUUGGAUAGAUUUGAGUAAGAGCAUAUCUGUUGGGACCCGAAAGAUAGCGAACUAUGCCUGCAUAGGGUGAGGCCAGACGAAAGUCUGGUGGAGGCUCGUAGCGAUACUGACGUGCGGAUCGUUCCGAAGUGCGUCUAACAGCAGCUGCAUGCUAAUCCCCUCGAGAGGAGGUGAUGCUGUCAAAUUGCAGGAAAACCUUAAAGCUUCAUCCACCGUACACACGUUUGAAAGAACUGCUGUACAUCGGUAACAGCGAUGAAGAUGCAACAAUGGGCAACCUGCAGCCAAGUCCUAAAGAUCUCUGAGAUCCACGGAUGCAGUCCACAGACUAGAUGUCAGCAGGUGGUACCUGAUGCCACUCAAGAUAUAGUCGAGCAGUUUUCGAAAGAAACACUGACAAACUGGCAAAUCGUUCGUCAAAUGUGGGUAUAGCGGCGAAAGACUAAUCGAGCUGUCUAGUAGCUGGUUCCUUC
rnacentral:misc_RNA from 1 species